GGGGGCUUGCGGAGCCGUCAUACAUGGCGGUCUUGAAAACCGUCGUGGCAGCGAUGUCACCGUGAGUUCGAAUCUCACAUCCUCCG
rnacentral:tRNA from 1 species